GGCCGCGCCACCGUUUUGCACCCGGAACCCUGGUCGAGGGGCGGGGCCGAGGGCUCUGGGCGGGGCCGAGGGCUCUGCGCGCGGCCGCUGUGAGGCAGAGGGUCUCAGCACAGGCGGAGAGAAGAAGCCCCACACGGUUUACACACAGGAGUGGAGUGUCGUCACAAGCUGAGGCUCAGCAGUCCUCGCUGACGAAGUGGCCACGAGGAGGGACAGGACUAAGCACCAUCCCAGGGCUCCUUCCUCUCAGAAGCAACAUCAUGUUUUAUUAACACGGGCCCAGAGCCGUCUGGCUCAGAUGUGCACUUAGAAACAGCAAAUUGAGAAGAAGCUGCCUUGCUAGACUUCGUAUAAACUUCAUACGAAUGUGUCCAUGUAUGAGUGGCUGUGUUUCUACUUCAGCCCUUUAAGUAUAAGACAGCAAGUCUUUCUUCCUUCCCCCCCAAAAUAAUAAUAAUAAUAAUAAAGAUUAAUUUUAAAUCCUCCAA